UACGGAGGGGGCUAGCGUUGUUCGGAAUCACUGGGCGUAAAGCGCACGUAGGCGGCUUUGUAAGUUAGAGGUGAAAGCCCGGGGCUCAACUCCGGAAUUGCCUUUAAGACUGCAUCGCUAGAAUUGUGGAGAGGUAAGUGGAAUUCCGAGUGUAGAGGUGAAAUUCGUAGAUAUUCGGAAGAACACCAGUGGCGAAGGCGGCUUACUGGACACAUAUUGACGCUGAGGUGCGAAAGCGUGGGGAGCAAACAGG
rnacentral:rRNA from 1 species